UACGUAGGGUGCGAGCGUUGUCCGGAAUUACUGGGCGUAAAGAGCUCGUAGGUGGUUUGUCGCGUUGUUCGUGAAAUCUCACGGCUUAACUGUGAGCGUGCGGGCGAUACGGGCAGACUGGAGUACUGCAGGGGAGACUGGAAUUCCUGGUGUAGCGGUGGAAUGCGCAGAUAUCAGGAGGAACACCGGUGGCGAAGGCGGGUCUCUGGGCAGUAAUUGACGCUGAGGAGCGAAAGCGUGGGGAGCGAACAGG
rnacentral:rRNA from 1 species